GUGAAAAUCAAGGAUGUUUUGAAGGACUGUGGCCAGGGGUGAAGGUCAAUGAUGUUUUGAAGGACUGUGGCCAGGUGUGAAAAUCAAGGAUGUUUUGAAGGACAGUGGCCAGGUGUGAAGGUCAUUGAUGUUUUGAAGGACUGUGGCCAG